UUUGGGGAGGAUUAAUGGCAGUGUGUUACUUACUGUAAUAAUUUUUUAAUAUUUUAAGGAUUCAUACACUUUGAUCACAUUGCAUCUAUGAACCACAUGAAAACAGCAAUACAAGGGAAAUAUGAGCUGUUGAAUAUUGAGUCUCCUGGCAUGGACAGCAUACCUUUCAAAUCACAUGAUGCAGGAGCUCUUGCAGCUGGAUAAAUCUGCUGGAAGAUGUUCCAGGGUAAGAACACUAACAAUGGCUCACUCUUCAGAUGUACCACUGCCUCACAAUACUGUGUUUCCAGACAAUAGCUUCGUGUGUCAUUUGAAGUAGAAUAAGACAAAUAGAACACAAAGGAAGUCACCAAGCAAAUACAAGACUUUCUGUAAAGAUCCCAAGUAGACCAAGCCAUUAAAUCAUAC
rnacentral:lncRNA from 1 species